rnacentral:SRP_RNA from 1 species
CGGUGGCGAGGGAUCGGGGAGCUAGCCGUUCCCUGUAACCCGAAAUCGGCUAUACGCGGGGAUCCGUUAACCUGCGUUGGGAGAUGUGGUUGAAAGGCAAUAGGCCCUACUACUGACUAUGAGGUUCUGCCCUAUCGGGCCGACGGAGAGGGGGUUUCUUUCGAAGGAAGGAAUUCCAAUCCUUUUACAGCUAAAUCCGGCGAGGCUCGGAAGAGAACAGCCGUAAGGCAGACGUUUAGGCGCUGACAGGAUCACAGAGCCAAGGAUGUGGUUAGGAAACCGGUGUCUUGAGACGCAUCAACCACAUAGGGAUGUCGCCACCG